UCUGGUGGCAAUAGCAAAGAGGUCACACCUGUUCCCAUGCCGAACACAGUAGUUAAGCUCUUUAGCGCCGAUGGUAGUCGGA
rnacentral:rRNA from 1 species